CUACUAAUCUAACUGUCUGUAGGUCCAACAGAACACAACACACCACUACUACUAAUCUAACUGUCUGUAGGUCCAACAGAACACAUUAAAACACACCACUACUACUAAUCUAACUGUCUGUAGGUCCAACAGAACACAUUAAAACACACCACUACUACUAAUCUAACUGUCUGUAGGUCCAACAGAACACAUUAAAACACACCACUACUACUAAUCUAACUGUCUGUAGGUCCAACAGAACACAACACACCACUACUACUAAUCUAACUGUCUGUAGGUCCAACAGAACACAUUAAAACACACCACUACUACUAAUCUAACUGUCUGUAGGUCCAACAGAACACAUUAAAACACACCACUACUACUAAUCUAACUGUCUGUAGGUCCAACAGAACACAACACACCACUACUACUAAUCUAACUGUCUGUAGGUCCAACAGAACACAUUAAAACACACCACUACUACUAAUCUAACUGUCUGUAGGUCCAACAGAACACAUUAAAACACACCACUACUACUAAUCUAACUGUCUGUAGGUCCAACAGAACACAUUAAAACACACCACUACUACUAAUCUAACUGUCUGUAGGUCCAACAGAACACAUUAAAACACACCACUACUACUAAUCUAACUGUCUGUAGGUCCAACAGAACACAUUAAAACACACCACUACUACUAAUCUAACUGUCUGUAGGUCCAACAGAACACAUUAAAACACACCACUACUACUAAUCUAACUGUCUGUAGGUCCAACAGAACACAUUAAAACACACCACUACUACUAAUCUAACUGUCUGUAGGUCCAACAGAACACAUUAAAACACACCACUACUACUAAUCUAACUGUCUAAAUGAUUCCAGAGGAAAACAAAUGAUGAAACAUCGCUAUGACUCACCUCUGAAUGUGAUGGUCAUGUAUCU